UCCUGUGUGGCUCAGUUGGUAGAGUAUGGCGCUUGCAAUGCCAGGGUUGUGGGUUCGGUUUCCCACGGGAG
rnacentral:tRNA from 1 species